rnacentral:rRNA from 1 species
GAGUUUGAUCCUGGCUCAGAAUCAACGCUGGCGGCGCGCUUAACACAUGCAAGUCGAGCGAGAAAGCGGGGCAACCCGUGAGUACAGCGGCGUACGGGUGAGUAACACGUGGGUGAUUUACCUCCGAGUGGGGAAUAACCCUGGGAAACCGGGGCUAAUACCGCAUAAGCCUGGGAAGGGAAAGCGGCUUUGUUCAAAGCAGAGCCGCGCUGGGAGAGGAGCCCGCGGCCGAUUAGCUGGUUGGUGAGGUAAGAGCUCACCAAGGCGACGAUCGGUAGCCGGCCUGAGAGGGCACACGGCCACACUGGCACUGAGACACGGGCCAGACUCCUACGGGAGGCAGCAGUGGGGAAUCUUGCACAAUGGGGGAAACCCUGAUGCAGCGACGCCGCGUGAGCGAUGAAGCCCUUCGGGGUGUAAAGCUCUUUCGGCAGGGAAGAUAGUGACGGUACCUGCAGAAGCA